rnacentral:rRNA from 1 species
CUACGGGACGCAGCAGUGGGGAAUCUUGGACAAUGGGCGCAAGCCUGAUCCAGCCAUGCCGCGUGAGUGAAGAAGGCCUUAGAGUCGUAAAGCUCUUUCGCCAGAGAUGAUAAUGACAGUAUCUGGUAAAGAAACCCCGGCUAACUCCGUGCCAGCAGCCGCGGUAAUACGGAGGGGGUUAGCGUUGUUCGGAAUUACUGGGCGUAAAGCGCGCGUAGGCGGAUUAGUCAGUCAGAGGUGAAAUCCCAGGGCUCAACCCUGGAACUGCCUUUGAUACUGCUAGUCUUGAGUUCGAGAGAGGUGAGUGGAAUUCCGAGUGUAGAGGUGAAAUUCGUAGAUAUUCGGAGGAACACCAGUGGCGAAGGCGGCUCACUGGCUCGAUACUGACGCUGAGGUGCGGAAGUGUGGGGAGCAAACAGGAUUAGAUACCCGAGUAGUC